UACGUAGGGUGCGAGCGUUACUCGGAAUUACUGGGCGUAAAGGGUGCGUAGGCGGGUCUUUAAGUCAGGGGUGAAAUCCUGGAGCUCAACUCCAGAACUGCCUUUGAUACUGAGGAUCUUGAGUUCGGGAGAGGUGAGUGGAACUGCGAGUGUAGAGGUGAAAUUCGUAGAUAUUCGCAAGAACACCAGUGGCGAAGGCGGCUCACUGGCCCGAUACUGACGCUGAGGCACGAAAGCGUGGGGAGCAAACAGG
rnacentral:rRNA from 1 species